GAGAAACCCUACACCGCCACCUUGACUGCCAGACUGUCUUGGGUUGUGUGUAAACUGUAGACCACCAUACGAUAAUGAGUCAGGGAUAGCUAUGUCAGAAAGAGAGAGACAAGUUUCAGUUAAAGCAAGUAAGUUAAGCGAGCGUGAGAGGAAUACAUCACGGAUGGAAGUAGAUUUAGUUAUGUUGCACACAUGGCGUGCAUUCCAUAGGG